UUAAGAAUAUAACUCCGAGCUAAAAGGCCUUCGGUUUCUGCAUGGAUCAUGGUCUGCAGCCGUUAGGGUUGUACUGGAAACGGUUCAGCCUUCCACCACUUGAAAAGGAGUCUGUAUGAAUGUCUCA
rnacentral:ncRNA from 21 species